rnacentral:misc_RNA from 1 species
AGGUGAUGGACUAAUGAAGUCUCUUUCCUCUGAUUCUUCCACAUGGAGAGGAGCCACUGCAUCGUUACACAAAUUCUCAAAUGUCGUUAUUAUGGGUUUCUCCAAUAGACAUGAAGAGGUCUGCCAUUUUUUACUCUAGGCAUUCUUUUCAACUUUUUUCUCAUCAUCUCAACUUGGGAUUCCCUCGAAAUCAUUUGCAGUUACUUGUUAGAAGAUCUUUGAGUCGAAAACUCUAUUCCUCAAGCUCGAUCAAUACCAGACCUUUUCCUGAUUAUUCCCCAAAGAAACCCACUAUUAAAGACUCUGAACUUGUCCAUCAAAUCUCAAAGGCAAUAAAGUUACGCCGCUCUGAGCCCCUCUGCCGCAUUCUUAAGCCUUAUGAAUCCAAGUUUAGGUCUGACCACCUAAUUUGGGUUCUUAUGAACAUCAAGAAUGAUUACGAAUUGGUUUUAAAUUUCUUUGACUGGGCACGCCUGCUUAGAGACCCAAAUCUUGAAGCCCGUUGUAUUGUUGUUCAAAUUGCUGUGGCUUCAAAGGAUCUUAAAAUGGCUCAUGAACUUAUUUUUGAUUUUUGGUCAAAACCGAAUUUGGAUAUCAGUCUUUCAUUCACUCAUUUUGUUGACCGACUGAUUUACACUUAUAAGGACUGGGGUUCAGAUCCCAAUGUAUUUGAUGUUUUCUUUCAAGUCCUUGUUGAAGUAGGAAUGCUAAGUGAAGCAAGAAAAUUAUUUGACAAGUUGUUGAAUUAUGGAGUAAUUGUUUCUGUCAAUUCUUGUAACUUAUAUCUCACACAGCUGUCAAGGAAUUUUGAUAUGCUUGGGAUGGCAAUAAAGGAUUUUAGUGAAUUUCCUCAAGUGGGUGUCCAUUGGAACACCGCAUCAUAUAACAUAAUUAUGAAUUCCCUUUUUCAAUUAGGGAAAGUAAAAGAAGCCCAUCUUUUUCUGUUGAGAAUGGAAUUCAAAGGCUGUAUUCCUGAUGUGGUAAGUUAUAGCACUAUAAUCAAUGGGUAUUGUCAUAUUGGGGAACUGCAAAAGGUGUUGUGGCUUGUCAAAGAAAUGCAAAUGAACGGAUUGAAGCCUAACUCAUAUACCUAUAGCAGUCUAAUCCUUCUUCUGUGUAGAAGUGGUAAAGUUGUUGAAGGUGAGAAGGUCUUGAGGAAGAUGAUUAACCAAGGAGUUUAUCCUGAUAAUGUGAUAUAUACAACUCUAAUUGAUGGUUUCUGUAAAAUGGGUAAUACCGAAGCUGCAUAUAAGUUGUUUGAUGAGAUGGAGUCUCAGAAAAUUAUUCCUGAUUUUGUAGCAUAUACUGCUCUUAUUUGUGGGCUUUCUCAAACGGGAAAGAUGAUGGAAGCAGAAAGACUUUUCAAUGAAAUGCUUAAAAAAGAGUUGGAGCCAGAUGAGGUUACAUAUACAGCACUUAUUGAUGGUUAUUGCAAGUCAGGUGAGAUGAAAAAAGCUUUUUCCCUUCACAAUCAGAUGGUCCAAAUUGGGCUUACUCCAAAUGUUGUCACAUACACUGCACUGGCUGAUGGCCUUUGUAAAUGUGGGGAGCUAGACACAGCGAAUGAGCUUCUUCAUGAGAUGUGCAGAAAGGGCCUUCAAUUAAAUAUUUGCACUUAUAACUCAAUUGUUAAUGGCCUUUGCAAAGCGGGAAAUAUAUUACAAGCAAUAAGGCUGAUGGAAGAAAUGCAGGAAGCAGGGAUGUAUCCUGAUACUAUCACUUACACCACAUUGAUGGAUGCUUACUGUAAGACAGGGGAGAUGGUUAGGGCACACGGGCUUCUGCGUGAGAUGCUGGAUAGGGGGCUUCAACCUACAGUUGUCACAUUCAAUGUGCUCAUGAAUGGUUUUUGUUUGUCAGGAAUGCUGGAAGAGGGUGAAAGGCUACUAAAAUGGAUGCUGGAGAAGGGCAUAAUGCCAAAUGCCACUACCUACAAUUCUAUUAUGAAGCAGUACUGUGUUAGAAAUAAUAUGCGAACUACAACUGAGAUUUACAGGGACAUGUGUGCUCAAGGAGUGAUCCCUGAUAGCAACACAUAUAACAUUUUAAUAAAAGGGCACUGUAAAGCUAGGAAUAUGAAAGAGGCAUGGUUUUUGCACAAAGAAAUGGUAGAGAAGGGAUUUAACCUCACGGUUAGUUCCUAUAAUGCUCUCAUCAAGGGUUUUUUCAAGAGGAAGAAACUUUUGGAGGCAAGAGAGCUAUUUGAAGAGAUGAGAAGGGAAGGGUUGGUAGCUGAUGCAGAAAUAUAUAAUCUUUUUGUUGAUAUAAAUUAUGAAGAAGGGAACUUGGAAACCACUCUUGAGCUUUGUGAUGAAGCAAUAGAGAAGUGCCUGGUGGAUGAAGCCAGGAAUGGAGACUGAUAGUUGGGUUUUCUCCUACAAUAUUUUAGUUUGACAAUCAUGGAAAGAGCUUGCAAAUUUGAAACAAAUUUAUAGGCUGGCGUAGCAUGAUCAGAUGUUAUUCUCAGAACAAUUUCAGAAUCAUGGUGGCAACAUAAUGUGAUACCCCACUGUAGCAUUCCACAAGGACCAGAGGGCAGAUGCAGCUGAAUUACCGUGGACUAUUGUUAUCACAUGCAUAAACAUCCUCUCUAAGAGUCAUUUUUUCAGUUAAUUUUCCAAGAUGUCCGUUAUCACAAUCAAAUGAUAAAGCAUUUUGGUGCGAACUGUUUAAAUUCCUGGCAAAGUUGGAAUUCAGGGUCAAGCCUGAUGAAGGUGAAUCUUGGACACAUCAAAUUAUAGAAGCUAAGGUAAGAAGAAAGCCAAAUACUGGUUUUGGGAGCCAGACCAAAUACUGGUUUUGGGAGCCAGAGUAAAAUAGCUUGACAACCAAUCAGAGAUUGAUCUUUCAAGGAAAACAAAUGCUUGCAAGUUGCAACUAAUUUUGUUGGUUUGUCAAGGAUUGAGACUAUUAAUGGUGUUAGUUUAUUUUUAUGGAGGAUUGCGCUCAAAAAGAUGCCCACGGUUUAUUCUCACAUUGGUACUCUUAAAACGAGAUUUGAAAUUGUAAUGGAAGAAAAAAGAUCACAUGCAUGCUGUGGGAUACCUUGUGUUCAAAAUUUUUAUUUAUUUCAUUUAUUUUUUACUUAAUUGAAUUAGUUUAAUAUAUUUCGUGGUG